rnacentral:RNase_P_RNA from 13 species
GAAAAAGAAAGGGAGGAAGAUAGAAGAAGCAAAGAAGAGAGAAAAAAAUUCUUCUCUUCUGUUUCUUUCUUUUCUCCCCUUUUAUUCUUCCUUCUUCUUUUCCUACGAAUUCUUCCAAAACAAGAA